GUGACCAAUCAACGUGCGGCUUGCUACUGAGUGCUCUUCGGUCCACGGCGUGGACCUGCUGCGCAUGUCUGCGUAGUGCCUUAUGGUGAUUGUAGUCUUACGCGAGAAGACCUGAGGCAGAAUGUCCAUCCAGAAUCAGUUAACAAAUUUUGCAUCACAAAUAAAGAAACUGAUGAACUGAGAGUAAACUAUCCACAAGGAUACAUGAACAUCACCCGGCUGUAAAGCGACAUGAACAACUCUUCCUCGUCUCUACCCAUGAAGAUCAAGAGGGGCACAAAUUCAACUGGGCAUCAGAGAAAGUCGCGGUGCAAGUAAACACGCGGCAUGCAAAGGAAUUCCUAGAAGUGUGGUUUUCCACAAACAAUUCUGUAAGCAGAUACAUAGACCUUGGUCCUAUUUAUGAACCAAUGCGGGCAAAAUUCCAGGCUGCAACACCCAGAGUUUGCCAUGCAAACAAUCAGUGAUGAGACCACCUCCCUACAUCACAACUGAGUCUCCAUAAUGAGGACCAAUCAGCUGAACGUUAAAUGAAAGCCAAGCAUUCAGAGGACAUGCCACAAUCAACAGCUCACUGGUGAUGUCUGCUCUUAUGCUGAUGAAACUUUUGCAAAUGGAUUGCCAAGAUCAGAGGACCAACCAUAAAGAAAUACAAAUAGAAUCUACCAAAAACCAUACAUUAAGACUGACAAACAACCAAUAUGCAAAAGAAGACAAAAAUAUUUGGCCUUCACUACGUGGCACAGAUUCACCACCCUUGGCCGAAUGAAUUCCUUCUCACCUCAUUUCAAAAAGGGCAGCCCUUUAUCCCGAAGCUGUGUCCUCUGGUUCUAGACUCUCCAUACAGAUUGUGAACCAGGGUUAAUUUCCCACCCUCUGCCUGUAAGGAGUUUAUACGUUCUCCCUGUGAUCCCAGGGGUUUCAUCCCAUGGUCUAAAGACGUAUCUGUUGGUGGGUUAAUUGGUCGGUGUAAAUUGUCCCGUAAUCAAGCUAGGAUUAAAUUGGGGUUGCUGGGCAACACAGCUUGAAGGGCCAGUAGGGCCUGUUCCACACUCUGUCUCAAUCAAUAAAUAAAUAAGAACUUUGGUGGUGUGUUUUCAGACCAACUGAGCAAUCUGGCACUUUGCUGUCUCCUUUACGUGAGGCAUACGGCCUCGAGGCCAAGGAGCCUUGAGAUGGGUUGCAAGCCCACGAUUGAUGCCAUUUCUCACCAAUUCCUGCACUGAGGAAGAUUGAAAGCAUCGAGGGGAGCAGGUGUUCAGUGCCAUAUGCCAGCCUUUCACCUGCUGCUUCUGAGGAGGUGGCUGCGUGCGAUGGUCGGUGGAUGGUGUCCGAGUCUUGGGCUUUGAGCAAGGUUUAAAUGACGGAUUAGACUCCAGUUCACGUUAUGAUAUGUUUCUAGUUGCUACUUUUCACUGGUGUUGGGUGAUUUUGAAUCAGGGAGGUCUGCAGAUAACACUGAACUGAAUAUACCUGGACUCUUUUGAUUUUGUGUUUUUCACUUUUUUUUGUUGAUGUUUGCAUGAUUUGGUGUUUUUUUGCAUGUGGAGGUGUUGAUGUUUUUCUUUCCACAGGUGGUUCCAUGGGUUUCUUUGUUUCGUGGCUGUCUGUGAGAAGAUGAAUCUCAGAGUUGUAUAUUGCAUACAUACUUUAAUAGUAAAUGUACUUUGACUCUUCA